rnacentral:rRNA from 1 species
GUCCACGCCGUAAACGAUGGGCAUUAGGUGUGGGAGGUGUCGACUCCUCCCGUGCCGGCGCUAACGCAUUAAAUGCCCCGCCUGGGGAGUACGGCCGCAAGGCUAAAACUCAAAGGAAUUGACGGGGGCCCGCACAAGCAGCGGAGCAUGUGGUUUAAUUCGACGCAACGCGAAGAACCUUACCUGGGCUUGACAUGUUGGUGACCGGUGUGGAAACACACCUUUCCUUCGGGACACCAUCACAGGUGGUGCAUGGCUGUCGU